AGACAGCUGACUUUGAAGUUGAAGACAGAGUGAAGAGUUUGUACAGUUAGGUGUGUCCUGACGUUCCUGUCCUGACUAGGAAAAACCUGCGAUGACGGCUGAGCAAACCAGUUGACCUGAAGACACAGAGUUUGUACCUGGUUAUGCAGGUGUGUGCUGAGGCUGUCCAGUCUGUGAGAAACCUGCGAUGACAGCUCAACAAACCAUUUGACUUGAAGAUGCAGAAGGAAAUGCAGACAGCAAAGUAGUGAGAGAAGACAUACAGUGGGCACAGUUGUAACUUAUGCGGACCCGGAGACUGGACUGCAGCAGGAGGAAGAACCAGACUU